GCUGGUCCCCCAGUUCAUGUUGACCUAGUCCUGUCUCCAUGGUAACUCUACAGGGGCCAGUAGCUUUCACAUUUAGAGUUGGACAGGUGGCCACAUGAGUUUACACAUACACGUGUGCCUCUUACACAGAAAGGCAAGCUUCACACAAACAGACCCACACACGCCCAUGUGCGGUGUCACAAAUUCAUUCUUAUUUGGAUGCGCAUGCAUGUGCAUGGGAGGCUUGCACACAGUAGCUCCAAACAAAUGGGUCUCACACAGACACAUGCAGGCUCAUUCAUGCCUGUGUGCGUAGGAUAUAGCUCUGAGUGUAACCUGGUACGUGUCCAUAGAUUCAGAAGCAUACCGACGUGCUCAAAGGUUCACACACUGGGCCAGUGCAGAUUUCAACUGCAGCCUUAAAGGGGCAGCUUGCAGACUCUUGUGAACAUGAAUACAUACAGAUGGAACCCACUCUUGCCCUGGACUAUGUCCUUGUCCUUUGGAGGACACAGGUACCACCUUUUCUCACAUGGCACAAGUGCUCAAAUAAUGAGUGACCACAAUGGUCUGCUUCCCUGACUCAACUGCAUGAAGACCUUCUGCCUCUGAUCUCUAAGGAAGUGUAGACUACUGCCCAGGCCAAAGCUCCCUCAUGGGUUUUCAUGGUGGCUGCCUUCUGAUUGCUGCUGACUUCCCUCUCCAAGGGAGAGGGGCUACAAGGUGGCAGGCAACCUUCAUUGGUUGGUGUUAAACAGCUCCGUUGGGGAAGAGAAGCGUAAGAAGAACCUACAAUCAUUAGGCAAAGGGACCCAUGUUCUCUGUGUUGUAUGAAUGAGGAAAUUGCUAUGUUCUUUGAAAGAAGAGAUCUCUCCAUUUGGGAGUUGUCAGUGUAUUAUGUCCAGUAGGUGUUUCAAUAAAUGUAUAUCUGUGUGAGGCUGA
rnacentral:lncRNA from 1 species